rnacentral:rRNA from 1 species
CCUACGGGAGGCAGCAGCUAAGAAUAUUCCGCAAUGGACGAAAGUCUGGCGGAGCGACGCCGCGUGGAUGAUGAAGGCCGGAAGGUUGUAAAAUCCUUUUGCCGGGGAAGAAUAAGCAUGGGAGGGAAUGCCCGUGUGAUGACAUGAACCGGCGAAUAAGCCCCGGCUAACUACGUGCCAGCAGCCGCGGUAAU